UUUUUUUUUUCUGUAUUAACACGAUUAAAAGACAAAAUGAAUUAAAUAAUAAAAGAGUAAUUAAAUUUGGCAUCAUGUGUGUAUGAUUUGGAUGAUUGAUGUUGACUAUGCUUCGGAAUCUGAUGUUAGUAUGGUGAAGCAGCGAUACAUCGAUCGUCCAUGGAUAACACAAAUGAGUUCGAUCAAUUUAUAUAUAUGAUAUAAGAUAAUCUGAUGCAAAAUAUGGUAUAUAUGAUAUACUAUUUCUAUUUCGUUCAUUCAAACACUUAAUUAUUUUUAUUCUUUUAAGCGAUCAAUAGCCAAUUGCUUCGGAAUCCGACAUUAGUAUGGUGAAGCAAUGGCGUGUUGAUCAAUCAUACUGAAUUAUCAAUCAAGGUGUGUUUGACGAUAUGGAAUUGUUGCAUUAGGGUUCAUGAUGGUACAAGGGUUAUGCUGUCAAAGAGUUAUGCGAUUAGGGUUGUGACUGCAUAAGAGUUGUGCUUUAAAGUAUCAUGUGUUGACCGAGAAGAAGAACCCCCGACUAACUCUGGGUAGUAUGAUCAAUCACCAAAAUUUAAUUUGGUUUAUAUAAUUAAUAGAAUUUAAAUUAAUAAUAAUAAUGUGUUUAUUAUUAUUGUCUUGUGGUGAUCAGUUAUGGCCUUAGUUUUCCUUUAUUUUGUUUUUGGGAUUUUAAAAUACAACCCGCGUGUCGUGCCUCUAUUUUAAUCUCUUAAUGUAACUUAUUUUCUCAUCUCACUCCCUCGUAUGUAAAACGAGUUUCUUUUAUGUAAUAUAAUGUUAUGAAAAAAGAGAAUAAUAUAAUAUCAAAUUGGGAUAACCUUGAAGAUCUUGCUUGGAGAAGCUAAGAUUGUUAUUAGGUUAUAUUAGGUUCUCUCAUUGGCUUGGGAGAACAAUUGCGAUAUGGGCCAUAACAGUUUCAUUUUGUAUGUAUAUUGAUGCAUCUGAGAGACGAUUUAUAUGAUAAAUAAGCCGGAGAGAUCAAAAUAAUUGCAAAUUCCCUCAUAUUAAAUAUUAAGUUUAUGCUUUCCAAUUUUUAGCACUCAUCAAGACUAGUAUCGAAUAAUGUAGGUUUCGCCUACGUGAGGUACAUGUUCUGUAUUAGUAUGGUGUGAUGGGAUGAUUGUAAUAAUCCAACAUUGCCUAAAACAAUGGGUCAAACUUAACUAAAAAAUUAUAAUAAGAUUAUAUAUGUUUAGAAGCAAGAGUUGGAAUUGAAUAAGGAGUUACUCACCCAACUAAAAUAUUCGAGAGUUGUAUUAGAUACAAUUGGAAGGAGUUCCUACCUAAAUAACCUAGUUUUGUGUAAUCCUCCUACGCGAACUUAAAACAAAGUGAAAUUUGGAUCUCGACCCAAUAGAAAAUCUUCCAACGGGAUUUUCCGAAUCAAUGGUGAUGGUCAUUUGUUUUGAGUAAAAUAGUGGAAGCAUAUUUAAUUAAAGGCCUAAUUAAAUAUGUUAUUUUAAUGAUACUUAUAUUUUCAUAUUUUUCAUGUAGAUUACCAUGACAACAAACACCUCUAACAACAUUUUACGAUCAAUCCUUGAUAAGGAAAAAUUGUCUGGGACAAAUUUUCUGGAUUGGCACCGAAAUCCGAGGAUUAUUCUUAAGCAUGAUAAAAAGUUGUAUGUCUUGGAGAAACCUAUUCCUGAAGAGGAACCUCCUAGUUCUGCACCUAAGGCAGAGAUAUAUGCUUAUAAGAAGCAUGUCAAUGAUAACAAUGAAGUUGCUUUCCUCAUGCUAGCUACCAUGAACUCGGAGUUGUAAAUGCAACAUGAGAACAUGGGAGCGUUCGAUAUGAUCAUACACCUGAAGAUGCUCUAUCAAGAGCAGGAAAGGCAUGAGUUGUUUGAAGUUUCAAAGCCUUUUUUCAAUGCAUGUUAGCUGAGGGAGCCAAUGUAGGUCCACAUGUCCUCCAGAUGAUUGGGUAUAGUAAGACCCCGAUUUUGAUCCUAAGAUUCCUCAUGCAAUUUCAUCAUAAGCAUUAGCAUUGGGUUCAUACCUUGGCAUCCUCCGUACCCCUCUUUCAUUGGGUUUGUUUUGGGAGAGAUAACGAAACACCAUGUAAUUGUAUCAUACUUGUAUAUUAUUUUACUAACCAAAAUACCAAAAAUAUGUCUUUGCAUUUGCCUAAUUCUUUUGUAGGUAGGGCAUGAUCACCAUUGAUCUAUCAAGUUCAUAUCUAGGGUUUGAGACCCUCAUGACAAGGAGCGCAACAAUGGAUUGAUCCAAGAAUGGUUAUAAGCAUCAUAUAUGAGUCCCCAUGAUUCCUACAUGUUAUACUGAUCAAGUAUUCUUCAAGAGUUUGAGGGUGAUUUGCCUUGGAAACCCCAGUUUAACUAGGUAUCUUGAGUAACUUCUCCUACAAGCUAUCUCAUCAAUUUAUCAAAAUUAUCAAGGGACACUUAAAAUUUCAUCAUAUUAUGCAUAUAUGAUUUACCAUGAGCCAAGAAAGUCCAAAGAAUUGAAGGUUAUCAAGUUGGCUGAUGGUGGUUGGCCAGAUGAAUUCAUCUGAUCAAAACUGGGUCUCCCUAGACCCUAACUCCUACAAUUUUCACCAUAUGAAAAUUAUUCUCAGAGCAAAGUUACUCUAAAUGACAUUCCAAACAACUUUCAAGUUGAGAUCUAGAGCUAGUUUUGCUUGGAAAAUCAUUUUCUAUGUUGAAACAUUAUAGGUCAUUUUGUCUAAACCCUAAUUUGAAAGUCAACUUCCCAUGGCCAUAACUUGCUCAAUUUUUAUGAUAUGAAAUAUUUACAAGUUGCACAAUCAAAUUAAAGAUGUCUAAUUCAACUUUGAUAUUUGGUGUAAGAUCUAAUUCAACUUUUAUGAGCAUGUGAUAUGAGGUUACAUUAUAGGUCUUUUUUUAUCUAUACCAUUGAACAAGUGAUUUUUCCAAACUUCAAAAAUGCAUAACUCUAUCAUUCUAGUUCCAAAUGAAAUGAAAUUUGUGACCACUUUGAAGAUCUUUGAUAGAGCUACAACUUUGAUGAAGACACUUUUCUCAUCUGAAGCUCACGUAAAAAGUUAAGCAAGAUGGAAUAUUGAGAUAUAUGACUUAACACAGAAAUUUUUUCAACAUGUUGAAAUUUCCAAACUUCCUCCUCAAAAUUCACCAUGUUCUUAACUCCAAAUGGAAAAGUGUUCAACAUGAAACUUGUUCCCCUUGAUCCAAUCUUUCCAAAGUCCCCAAGUUCAUUCAUUUUGGAUGAAGUUUUCUAGGUUUGCGCAUGGCUUUAACAGGGCUACAUCAUGGGAAAGAAUCAAAUGUACAAGCUUAACUUCACAUUGCCUUUCCAUUCAAGCUUCAUUCAGACUUCAACAUGAUUGAUUUUGGACCUUUAUGCAUUGCAUCAUGGGCCUGUACAUGCACAUGCACUCGUGCCAUUCACAUUGCCAAAUUUGGACAAAUUAUGGACUUCUGUGAUUCAAAUCAAACUUUCAAAAGUAAAAUGUGAUUAUCAUUAAUAUGUUUUAUUCAACUCAAGAACUUCUAUGAUUAAAAUCAUAUUCACUAGAGAAAAUCCCGACUUUUCCACAUAACUUGAUUCAAAUCAUGUCAUCCCAUGAUUUGAAUCACGCUUCAAGAUUUUAGUUUUUUUUUAUAAUCAAAUGGAGCGUUAUACUGAAUCAGAAUAUGACAUGACUUAAAUCAUUCUCAAACGUUCUUCUUAAUUUAAAACUUUGACUAUUUGACUAGGAGUGUAUUGUUAGGACCAUAAUCAAACAAUUUGAUUUAUGUAUAAGUUAAAAUAGAUUGAAAACUAAACUUUAAAGCCCACAAUACAGUGAGGAGAGUCAAAUACGAUAAAAUAAACCAAAAACUAGAUAGCAAAGCAACAAAACAUAAACGCGUAAAUCCUAUGACGUAGAGGAAACUUCAACAUCCAUGUUUUAUUUACUUAAAUCAAACAUUUUUAACAAGCAUGCAUUUAAGAAAAUAAUUUUAACAUUUACAAGAGAAGAGAUUACAUUAAGGAACCAACUUUGAAUCAUUUUUCUAUUCUUACAAUUCAUCCCAGAUAAUGGUUUUCUACUUCAUGCAUUUACUUUAAUUAUAAUUGUUUUCAUUGUAUUAUAUUUAAAUUUCAACACUUUGUAUCCAAGUUAAAUCGUUGUGGUAUUCUCAUUCUAAUUUGUUAUUGAGGGUUUCAAGUGGAUCAGUGAUAUUUCAUGGGGAUUGAUGAGUUAACAAUAUAUUUCUUACUUUAUAAAUGGAUGGAAAAGAUUCAUUACUUAUAAAAAAAAUUAAAUAAAAGGCGAUAAAAUAGAUUUUCCCUCGGUUGACAGCUCACCCAAGAGAAUAUGUCAUAAAUAAAACAUUAAAAAAAAUAAAAUUCGCUAAAAUGCAGUUGCUAGAAUUUAAAGGGGAAUUGAUCCAAAAAUCUUCAACUCGGUUAACAGCUCAACCGAGGGUAUAAGUUAUCAAUACAAUAUUAUAAAUAAAUAAAGUGUGAUAAAAUAUAGUUAUUGAGAUUCGAAGGAAGGUUGAUCAAAAUUGUUUCGCUCAGUUGCCAGCUCAAUCGACUAAAUAGGCAGUACUUUAUAAAAAUAUGUAGGAAUGUAGGUUCGAACAUGUGAUAUCUCAUUUGUUUAUCUUUAAAAGUUGAAUUCCACCGAGACAAAUGAUAAAAUAUGGGCGUUUUUAAAAAAUUUAAUCGUACAAAUUUAUCAAAAUUAUUAUGUUUUUAUAUAAAUAUUUUUUUGGAUUUGUUUAAUAAAAUCCUUUUAAAACUAAUUCAAAGGUGAAACCUGAUUAAUUUUUGAGUAAAAUAAUUUUUUAAUAAUAAAAAAGGAGAAGAAAUAUUAUGUUAUAUAAAAUUUAUAAAAAUAUUGAAGUGGCACAAUAUUUUUUUUAAUAUUUUAUAAAUUAUAAAACUAUUUCUUUAAUGAUUAUAGUUGUUCAAACUUUUAAUAUGUAAAAAGUACCUAUUGUUUUUUCUUUCUAUAUAAAUAUACAUUAUAUACUAAUUUGGUGUACUUAAGGAAACUCUCUAUCCACCACAUUCAUAUAUAGGGAAACUCUUUCGUACAUAUCUUGACAAAUUAGAUGCUAACUGUGGAGGAUAUCUUCAAACACUAUUAAAAUAUUGUUUAUUCGAACAUAAUCAUAUUCUUUUUUCUUUUUAUUGUAUUUUUUCUUUAUUUCUCUCAUGUACGAAUAUCAUAAGAUGUGACACUAUUUAAUUCAAUAAAAGACUAAAAUAAAAGGUAACCCAAAAUAAAAUGAUAUUUUAAAAUAAUAAGAUUCAAGUUAAAACGAUAAUUAAAAUUUAUAUAUUAAAUAUAUUUAAUUAUAACAUAAAUUCAUUAUGAUAUGGAAACUUGGAAGCCAAAAUUAAAAGAAAAUGAAAAGAUUAUAAUUAUAUUUCCGCCUUUUUUGCAUUAUUUUCAAAAAUUUAAAGANCAAAAUUAAAAGAAAAUGAAAAGAUUAUAAUUAUAUUUCCGCCUUUUUUGCAUUAUUUUCAAAAAUUUAAAGAACAAAGACAUAGUUUCAAGAUACAUGAAAUUACAACACGAUAUAAAUAUAUAAAGUUUAUAAAAUUACAAUUAUUCAUCAUAAGCUAUAUUAUUUAUAUUUUUUGAUAUUUCAAAAAAUAUUAUUUAGGAUAAGUUAUGAGAAUGGACUUAAAAAUGAUUUAACAUGUCCUCUCAUGAACCUCUACAAACUUUGUGCAUAUUUUGUUAACGCACUUAAAAAUUAUUCUCUGAUUGUUAGCACUCAUCAUUGAGAAUGGACAAUUUUCAUCAGUUUGACAUGGUUGCCCCCCUUAGUGAAAAAUAGAAUAAAAAAUGUUAGUGAAACAUGAAGAAAGAUAUUGUAAGAAUUAUAACAUAAAAUAAAAACUAAUUAAAAAGCAAAAAUGAUUUACCGUUAUGCCCGGAUGAAAGAAUAUGUCCGGAUGAAAGAAGGAAUAGGGAAAAAAAUAAAAUUAUAGCAUAAAUAAAUUUGACAACUUUUGUCAUUUUUUCUCUCUUUCUCGUUAGAAGUAAAAAGAGAGUUGAGCAAUUUAUAGUGUAUAAAUCCAAUGUAAUGUUUAAAACAAUUAAAUAUUUUAAGCCCUA
rnacentral:lncRNA from 1 species